UCCUGUGUGGUUGAUUGUUGGACUGGUUUGUGGAGUCUGUCUCAUUAUUAUUCUCCUGCUCUUGUUGUAUUCCUGCAGAAGAACCAACAGUGCUGCUAAUGAGCAGACGCUCAAUCAGGAUGAAGAUCAGCAGCAAGUGUACUCCUCUCUUCUUCAUGGUGAUCGUUGUGUCUAUGAGACGGUCAGAAGAUGUGAAAACACUGAAAAUGGUAAAGUUUACACUUUCA